rnacentral:rRNA from 1 species
GUCCUUUAGAAAUUUAUUUAAGGUUUAACCUGCCCACUGAUUUAAUUGAAGGGCCGCAGUAUUUUGACUGUGCAAAGGUAGCAUAAUCAUUAGUUUUUUAAUUAAAAGCUUGUAUGAAGGGUUGGACGAGGUAAAUUCUGUCUCAGAAUAAUUAAUUUUAGAAUUUAAUUUUUAAGUCAAAAAGCUUAAAUUUAUUUAAAAGACGAGAAGACCCUAUAGAUCUUUAUAUUAUAUUUUUUAAUUAUAUAUAAGAUUUUUUUAUUAAUUAUUAAGUUUAAUAUUUUAUUGGGGUAAUAAAAAGAUUUGAUUAAUUCUUUUUUUAUUUUAACAUUAAUAAAUGAGUUUAUGAUCCAAUAUUAUUGAUUAAAAGAUUAAGUUACCUUAGGGAUAACAGCGUAAUUUUUUUAGAGAGUUCAUAUCGAUAAGAAAGUUUGCGACCUCGAUGUUGGAUUAAAAAUUAUUUUAGGUGUAGAAGCUUAAAAUUUUGGUCUGUUCGACCAUUAAAUUUUUACAUGAUCUGAGUUCAGACCGGCGUAAGCCAGGUCGGUUUCUAUCUUUAGUCAGAUUUUAAAUUUUAGUACGAAAGGACCAAAUUUGAGGUAUAUUUAUAUUUCAAAAUUUUGAUUAU